AUGAGUAAGACGAUGUACCACGAGUCUGUUGCUCGAAGAUAUCCUGCUCUGCCCUCCCUACAGCGAUUCAGGCAGACUCCCGAAACAGGAAGACAAAGCUCAAGGAAGCAUCGGAGAAUGCCAGUCUUCAGCUAUCUCCAAAGCUUGUCUCGUCUUGCCUCUCUCUUUACUUUGGGAAUGGAAGAUUCCAAACUCUUCUCCAUGGUGGGCCAGCCCGGCAUCCUGUUAUCACAGUGGCCAACCAGAUGUCUGUGUGAAACCCUCUAGCAAGACCUGAACACAAGAGCCCCCACCUGCCCCGGCAGAUGAAGAUGAUAGACUUUUCGGAGCUCGCUGACCUGACUGGAAGAAUCCGCGACCAGAAAGAAGAGGAGUUUCAAAAGGACUGGAGGAAAUUUAAGGACUAUUUGAAUAAAUAUUGUAAUAUGAAAAAUUAGAAAUGACUUGAAAGAAACAAAUAGGCCUAGGAUUAAACUAAGUUAUAAUUAAAUAAAUGGGAUUUAGAAUGUUAAGAAAAGUGAAUAAGAUUGACUAUAAUUGGAAAUUGUUUUAGUUUAAUAAUGAUACUGAAAAGCUGUUACUUUUAAUUACAAGGAAACUCAGAAGGGAGGGAUUUGAGGAAGUCAACCAAGAUGUUUAAAAGGUUAGGUUUGUGAAGAAUUACGUUUGUUGUUAUUGUUUAGCUGUUUAUUGUUCCCUUCCCCCCUCCCUCCCCCCCCGUUUUUGUGUAUCAUUUUGCUUUGUGGUUUGUGUUAUCAUUGUGGAAAAUCUAAUAAAAAAAUUAUAUAUAAAAAAGAGAGCCCCCACCUGCCCCACCCCCAUUGGGUUCCAACAGCUGGUAUUCAGAUGUGUGGCUGCUUCUGACUGUAGACACAGAGUAUAGGCAUCACGGCACUGACAGCCUUAUCCUCCAUGAAGUUCUCCAAUCCUGAGCCAGCCUGCAUAGCACAGUUGGCUAGAGCAUGGUGCUGAUAAUGUCAAGGUUGCGGGUUCGAUCCCCACAUGGGACAGCUGCAUAUUCCUUGUACAAUGGUACCUCGGGUUACAUACCCUGCAGGUUACAUACGCUUCAGGUUACAGACUCCGCUAACCCAGAAAUAGUGCUUCAGGUUAAGAACUUUGCUUCAGGAUGAGAACAGAAAUUGUGCUCCGGUGGCGCAGUGGCAGCAGGAGGCCCCAUUAGCUAAAGUGGUGCUUCAGGUUAAGAACGGUGUCAGGUUAAGAACGGACCUCCAGAACGAAUUAAGUACUUAACCCGAGGUACCACUGUAUUGCAGAGGGGUGAUCCUCAGGGUCCCUUCCAACUCUACAUAUCCAUUACUUUAUUAUUUUAUUCUAUUUUAUUAUUAUUUUUCAAUAUUUUUUAUUAGCAAUUUCAACAUAACAAAGUAUCAAAACAUAUCCGAUUCAUUAUUUUUUCACCUUCUCCCCUCCCCAUCAAACCCUCCCCCCCCAGAGACUUCCCUCAGCUCCUCUCUCUGAUUUCUCCACACGUAUUAUUCUCUGCGUAUUGUAAAACUGUAGAAAUCUUUAUAUUAUCUGUCUACUAUGUUAACAAUCAAUAAAUUUGUGUAUGUUUAUUCGAAACCUGCCAAAGAGUCCAGUUCAUUUUGUUGUCUUUUAAAGUAUUUUGUAAGAAGUUCCCAUUCUUUGAAAUCACAGUUGUCCUUCUCUCCGCAGUUUGUAUGUCAGUUUAGCCAGUUCUGCAUAGUUCAUCAAUUUCCCUUGCCACUCUUCAGGACAAAAGACUUUAUUAUUCUAUUUUAAAUCCAUCCAAGUUGUCUCCUGUGGGAGCAUGUCCCCUACUUUAACUAGGCACGAUGUGAAGAAGGACUUUCUUUUACCUGCCGUGAAUCUCUCAACAUCCAGCUUCAUUGAAUGUUCACAAGUUGGCUGGAUGCUGAACUAAAUGGACCUUCCAUCUGAUAACUCUUCACAUCUUCUUACAUAUGGACUGUUGCAUAUAUAUACCGGUAAACCACGCUUUGCUUCCUCUGUACAUCAAGCCCACCUCAUUUUAACAUUUUUGGAGAAUAUGGUCUCUCGACCCUUUAAAUAGCUCUCUCCCCCC
rnacentral:lncRNA from 1 species